rnacentral:lncRNA from 1 species
CUCUUUAAAAUAUUUUUUUUAAUAUUUUCCUUAUAUAAUAAGUUUAACUAUAUAUAUGUUUAGUACAUAUCAUAUAAUAAGGGUAAGUUAGCUUGGAUGGCAAGUGGGUUGAACCUCAAACCUUUUGGUUUGGGGUUCGAAUCCCCUCAACUUCAAAAUGAAGGGUUAUCGCUGAUUUUUUUGGAUUUCUCUCGAAAUUUCGUCAGAUCGAUAUUUCUCCAUGAAAUAUCGUAUCGAUACCCUCCGAUACAUGAUACAUUGGCGAUAUAUUGCCAACAUAUCGCAAUAUUUUCUUCCUUGCAUAGGACCCAUUAAAUCCAUAUGUAACAUCUCUAAGAGCCUAGAAAAAGAGAACAUCAUUUUUCUAUCACUCAUGUGAAUUCAUUGUCCUAGGUAGGACAAAUAGGAUUUUUAGGCUUUCCUAAAUGGGAAUUGCUUUAAUUAGUUCUUUAUUUGUAAUCCUAGACAAAUCAUUAGAGUUUAAAUGCGCUAUCAUACAAUGCUACAUGUCUUUGGAUGUAGAUUUCACAUUUUACAACUAUGUGCACUAUAGAUGAUGAGGAAAAAGUAGAGAGGUGUACAAAAGCAUAACAAAAAUUAUCAAAAAUUCUAUUUCUUACCAACACACAUCCUUGAAUAGACACUGAUUUUGAGUAAAAUGAACAAAGCACAUACAAUCACAAAUUUAACUUGCGUUAAUUAAGUUUGCUUUCAAUCACUCAAUAUAUAGUAACUCCUCGAGUAUAGGUAAAUUUGGACCUUCUAUGGUACAUUUCGCUUUCAAGUUGGUUAUACAUAAUGCAACCAUCCCCAAAUACAACCAAGCUUCCCUUUAUAGGUUCAAACAUGGAGAAAGACUUUAAGUUCAUUGUUGCUUUUACCAUUCCCAAAUACAACCAAACUCCUAUGAGUUCAAAAUUCAAGAAAGAUCUAAGUUCUCUCUCAUACAACUAGAGUAGCCACUCUCAAAAUCCAAAACGUGUUUUUCUCUAGCUCUUAGGCCCUAUGAUCAACUAAGGCUUUUAGGUUCUCCGUAACCCAGAUUUUCUUUCCAAUGGGCGAUUUAAAACCUAUUCAAGAAUUGUUUUUAAAAUUAAUUUUUCAGUUCUUAAAAAUAGAAACCUAUUUUCUAGACUAAAACCAUGUUUGGCAACUUUUUGACAUAUUAUAGUUUGUUGAGAAUUUGUUCUGAAAAUAAGGUUUCUCCUAAUAACAUAUUUUAAUUGCUUUCAAUUGUUUUCAUUUAUUUUAUAGGGUUGUUUUAAGAAAAUAAUAAUAAAAAUAUAAAGAAUGAUGAAACAUAAACUAAAAACAAAAGUUAUUUUUAAGAAAUAUUUGAAAAUACAAAAAAUAUAUUAAAAAUGUUCUAAGUUUUUAAAUAGGCUUUUAUUUUAGAAGACAUUAGACCAACUAUUUUUGAAAACUUUUUUCAAUAACGGUUUUUUGAAGAAUUAUUUUCAAAAAAAUUCCUAAACAAACCCCUAACCUCUGAGGAUCUAAAACUUUGCACUAAGUUUGGCUUACAUUCAACUUCUUUUAUGGACAAAGCAAUGGAGCUAGAACAGAUUUCUUUCAAUUUAGUCAAUUCUUAUUUACGUGGCUCAUAAUCAGAUUGUAAGACAUUCAAUUUUUUUAACAAGGCACCAUGCUCAUUUUCAAGGUAAGAGAUUUUUUUCAAGCAAGGAAAUCUUCUCUCAUACUUCUUUUAUUCUCAUCCAACUUUCACAAUUUUCAUCUUAAGGCACUGAUCAUACAAGGCUUCCUAGGCAAUCUCAAAUUACAACUUUUCUUCCAAAUAUGUUGUAUCAUGAGAUGAACCUUCAAAAUUUUCAGAUUCAAGAUCAGUUUCAAAUUUAACAUUUUUCUUUUCAUUGCGAAGUGAUAUAGAAGGUUACAAGUAUAUCAACAAUUUCGUCAAGCAUAUCGUGCUCUAAAAGACACAAAUAUCAUCAACAUCAUGUGAUAAUAAUCAUAAUUAUGUUUAUGCAUGUUUCUAGCAAAUUAAUGCAAUGAAAUUUGUACACUCUUCAUCAAAAUCAUACCAAAUUACUUCUAUGACCUUAUCCUUCUGACAUUCAAGUAAGUGACCUUUCUCCACACAGUAGAAACCUUGAAUCAACUAGAUCUUUUUUGUGUUUUUUUUUUCUUUUUAUCACAUUUCUUUUCCCCUGUUUAUGGUCUCAAAUAGGUUAUCCUCUGUUUCUUGAAGCUUUUUGAACUUUUUGAAACUUUAUCAAGCCUAUAAAUUUCAAAUAUUGGUCAUUUUUUAUUCCUAUUCUGAUUUAAAUGCAUGUUCAUCUACUUUUAGUGCAAUAUUAAUGUUUCUUCCUCUUAGGAACAAUUGGGGUCAUCUCUAAUUGAAGGGAGCCAACUAUCUCAUCUAGCUUAAUUGAAUCAGCAGUGUUCCAUUCCUCUAUUGUUAUGACCUUAGGUCUAAAACGAACAGAGAAGAUCUUAACAGUUUUCAGGUAACCUUGGAAUCAAGUAAAGGCCUACAUAGAUUGAAAGUUAGCAUUCACAAUGUCCAUGAUUUCAAUAAUAUAUUCAAAAAAUAUUUUUGUUGUGAUCAUUUGAAAUUCAUUCCUUCACCUAUCCUACCUUUACAUAGUUUUACCUACCCUAGUGGAUAUAUAUCCUAUCUCUAUUUAGCACCAUAUGAGGAUAUCAACCAAAUUGAACAGAACUCCAAUCUCUGUUAGACUUCAUUUUAAGGAAGUAUAUCAGUUUUACCUUGGAAUGAGCAUAAUUAUCUCCUUUGAAGUAUGGAGGUCCACCUAUAGAGGUUCCUUCUCGGAGAAUUUCCAUCUUAAGAGAAUAUAGUUUAUCCGUAUUGAGAACAUGAGCAAACAUGUUUUGAUACAAUUUAUGAGUUUUUAAGAGAGUAUGCUAUGAACUUGAGAUCUCUUUUAGAUGAUCAAAUAACAUAUGCACAUGAAUGUCAUUGAGUGAUUAGCACAAGGUCACAAACCUCCCUAAUGAAAUCUCAACCAAAAAGCACACAAAUAUUGCACAAGAUAUAACAUAAAAAAAAUCUCUAAGUGGAGAAAGGAAAAAAAAAAAAAAACCAAUGGGUGCCUUUGUUGUUGCAAAUCCACUAUGAAUAUAAAUCCAGUUUUGCCUACAAUUCCCUCCACCAGUGAAAACAAAUGGUCUUAUAUGAUCAACUCCAUUUACUAUAGGGUUAUAAAGGAAACACUUGUGGGCUGGCAGGCAGUAGCUCCUCCCAACUCAUCAUAUUUCCAACCCCAUUUGCUCCAUCAAAUUCAUAAGAAGCUAACAAAACAACUAGCAUUUUAUAUCAUACAAUAUCUAUGCUAGUUAAUUUGCAUGGAAAAGACAAUUUCUACCCUAAAUAUGCCAACAUACAGGAAGACAUACAAUUUAUACAAACAUUGUACGCUAACACAAGAAAAUCAUACCUCACUUGCUGAUUUGAGGCAAUUCACCAGAGAAUGCAUAGGUGGCAAUGAGGUCCCAAUUGAGCUGUGCAUAUCUAACAGUCGCAGACUUGAAGGAAGCUCUGGAAUUUGUGAAACCUUCUUGCAGUGACUCAAGUCAAGGGCUCUAAGGUUAGAGAGCUGACUAAUACCCACAAGCAUGUCACUGAGGGUUCCUCCUUCCUCUGGAUUGCACCGACUUAGAUGUAAUACUUCCAGAGAGGAUAGAUGGAAAAUACAAUGGAAGACUCCUCCAUUUAGAUUGCAGUUUCUUAGACUUAAUUCUUUCAAUGCGUUCAAGCAGUUAUCACUCUUUAUUACUCCUGGUGUUAGAUUGCAUUGAUCUAAAUAUAGUUUCCUUAAGAGAGAUAAACCUGACAAAGAAGGCAAUUGACAACUGAGCGAAUUUAAAGAAAGAACCUCUAGACAUGGCAUUCUCUCCAGGUCCUCCGGCAAUCUGUCAAGUUUUGAACAGCCUUCAAGACUUAGAACUUCAAGAAAUCUCAAAUUACAAAUGCUGUUCGGGAGACCUUCAAGGUUUUUACAAUUAUCCAAAUACAAGUUGCGAAGACCUUCUAGAAGUUCAAUCGAUGAUGGUAGCUCUUUUAUAGCUGUAUUAUCUAAACUAAGCCUCUCUAGUUUUCCAAUACUGCGCUUGAUUUUUGGAAAACUAGUUAGUUGUGAACAGCCACUGCAAUGAAGUAUGAAAAGGUGUUUCAACUUAUGAAUGUCCCCAGGAAGAUUCUCAAGUCUUACACACCCUAUAAAAUUCGAGGAAAAAAAAAAGUUAGUUUAAUAACAACACUCUUAUAUGUGUGUGAACCUUAAGUAAAAUUAUACAACCUGAAAGAUUAAGUUCCUCCAAAUUUGGCACGUUUGAGAAAUUUGGUAGUUCAAUAAGCUGUUGUGAAUCAUUGAGAUUGAUGUACCUUAAAUUUCUAAGACACUGGAACAAAAUAGAAUUUCUAUUAAUAAAUCAAUUUUAACCAACUUUAAAAUAUUAUAAAACAAAAGCAUAAAUAAAUGAUUAUCAUACCAUGUUUCCUUUCCAAAGUCGUUUUAUGUUACUAUUGCUCAAACCGAGGAAAACAAGAUCAUUUGGAUGAAAGUUUGGUGGUAGAGAUUCUAAAGAAUAUCCAUCCCAACCGAGACAUGUCAAGUCAUCAGACGGAAAUACAAAAUCUUCAGGAAGUUGUUCUAUGCAAUUGUGGGAGAGGAUAAGCAAUCUAAGUCUAUUCAUCCUUUUGAAAGCUUUGCAUGUAAACUGUAUCUGUUCUGAUGUGUCCAUAUGAAAGAAUAUCCCUUCAAUUUUUUCAGUCCCCUAGAUAAUAAGAGUAUAAAAUUAGAAAAGCACGAUACAUGUAAAUCCUUACUAAGGUGAUAUAGAUGAAUAUAUAUAUAUAUAUAUCUUACCGUGUUUCUUUUCAAUACUCGAUAAAUAUCUGUAUGUCUCCAUAAUCUGCUCCUCUCUCCUGGCUCAUUAGGACAUUCUUCAUCAACAAUGCCCUUGCCCAUUUGGGCUAACAAAUCAUGCAUAUCUAUUGUAUUGUCCUCUAAAAUGGUUAUGAAACAUCUAUCAACGAGAACAUUUAUUCCACUUUCCGCUUCGCAUCCGGAACCAUCCAAUAUUCUUGAAACUGCUUCCACAUCACCUCCUUGAAAGAAACAUGCAAUGUCGAGAAAUAUCAUCUUUUGUGUAUAAUCCAAUCCAUCAAAACUUAUUUUAAGCACUUUUACAAUUUCCAUGUUAGGCACCUUUCCCAACUUCCGCAAUUCGCUUUUCCAAUCUGAUAGUCUCUUUCCAAAUAAUAGAGAACCCAAAACUUUAAGUGCUAAUGGAAGACCAUCAGCAUAUCGUACUACUUGAUGAGAGAGAUCUCCAUAACCUUCCUUCAGAUGAUGUUGUUUAAAGGCAUAAAGACAAAAAAGUUGAAGAGCUUCGUGAAAAUUUAAUUUCUCAACUUCAUACAUUUUCAUUUCAUGCCUAGUUAGCAAAUCUUUUUUCCUUGUAGUAAUGAUGAUUCUACUUCCUGGACCAAACCAAUUAUGCUUUCCAAUCAAGUGUUCUAAUUGUGUCAGCUCAUCUACAUCAUCCAGAAAAACAAGAACCCUUUUCGAGGAAAGCUUGUCCCUUAUUUCUUUGAUACCCUCAUGAACAUUCCUUAAAACUAUUUUCCUCGUUGUCCCUAGAAUAUCAUUAAGAAGUUGUUGUUGUAACUUAAGAAGACCACCAGAAUUUUCUGUGGAUUCUUUUCUGACAUCUGUGAGUAAGCUUACACUUUCGAAUUGAUUUGAGAUUCGGUUAUAAAGAGCAUUGAUGAUGGUGGUCUUGCCGAUACCACCAAGCCCAUAAACCCCGACCAUGCGAACAUCAUUCAACCCAAUCUCCAACAAUGAUAUUAGUCUUUCCAAACGAUAAUCCAUUCCGACAAUGUUCUCGGUAACAGCUAAAGUCUUAGGGAAGCUUCUAGGGACGUUCUCAAUAAUUUUAUCAAUAAGCUCUGUUUCAUACCUGCGAAUUGCAAAGCAUAAUGGGACAUGUGUACUGGCGCAUUAGGAUGAGUUGCAAAAAAUAAUAAAUUAUAUGAAAUAAAUUUAAUGAUGCCUAGUUUUCCAACUAUAACUUAGCAGGGCUAAAAGGAAUUUAAAUUAAAAUAAAAUAAACCACAUCUAUCAAACUACUCAUGAGUACAGUUUCAUUAUUCAAUAUAUAUGAUAGAAAUAAGAGAAGAAAAUGCAAAAUAUGAAUUGCAUUAUCAAAAGUGGAAAAAAAAACACUAAAAUAUUUUGUGUGUUAGCUUAUACUAUUCAAUCUUUUGAAAGGUUCAAAAUAAAGUUGAGUUGUCUAGAACAUUACUACCCUAUUUUGAUAAGGGAUUCCAUCAUAGGAUCAACUGCGCAUCCAAGCUUUUUAAUCUAAUAAUUUUACUACUGAUUAGAUGGUCAAGUUUAAAAUUUUAAUGAACAGAUCUUUAUUUUAUAAAUAAUAAAAAUAAAUAAAAAAUUAUAAAAGUUUAAAACUCACUUUAGCUUUAAGCGGUUAGUCAAAUAUCUCAUACUAAACAAGUUAGAUAUUUUUUAUAUCAGCAGAAAGAAAAAAGGACAGUGCUUCAAAUGACAAAUGAAGAGAAAUUACAAUUACCUGUCCUUCGCAUCAUAUCCGGCUAGAUUGCUUGCUUGCCUCAGGGCAAUCUUCCAUUUCCUUAUCUUUUCCUUUCUCUCCUCAUCUGCAUUCUUCUCAUGAUGGGUAAAUGCUUCUCCGUAAAUCUCAGUUUGGUUCCGCAGUUCAGACGGAUCUACAUGAUAGAAAAUUGGGAUAACUACCAUUUGUUCCCUUUCCUCUUUGCAUUUCAUGAUCUUGACAAGCUCUUCCAGACACCAUUUGGAAUGAGCAUAGGUUUUUGAGAAGACAAUAAUGGCACUCCUUGAUUCUUCAAUAGCUUUUAAGAGCUCUGGUGCAAUCUCUUCUCCCCUUGGAAGCUCUUCAUCAUCUCUGAAGGUAUGAAUAUUGUUACGAAUCAAAGCCGAGUAGAGGUGAUCGGUAAAGCUUUUGCGAGUAUCUUCACCUCUGAAACUCAAAAACACAUCGUAGCUCCACUGAGAGCGAGAAGUGAAAGAAGAAGAGGAUCUCUGGAUGCUAGGGGAGGCCAUGGUUGAACAGAAAUUGGAGGAAAAAUAAGGGCCUUCGGGUAUUCAGUGACUUAAUUCCCCUAGCCUUAAUGUGAAGUUUGGAUGUUGGUGGUGGGAUGUGCUUUUUCUUUCUCAAUUAUUUCUCCUUAGCUGUAUCCCUCUAGCUUUGAACUUUCACUUUUGUCCCUUUUGGCAGUCAACAAUGGCCGGCACUCUUCUCUCUGCAAUUUCCAAUUAAUUUCUAAAAUGUAAAAAAUAAAAAAUGAUCAAAUCCAUGUGGUCUUUACUUAGGUCAUAAGAUCGUGUGAACACACAUUAAAUUAAAGUUAUUCAAUUAAGUUUUGUCUUUUCCAUAAUUAGCAAUAUUACGGUAGAAAAUAAAGGUUUAUUAAGUUGAUAUGUCAAGUAAAGCUAACAACUUUGGUAUUAUAAGCUUGAUUUUUGUAGAUGGAAAAAUAUAAUGAGUCAUAUGACAAAAAAUAAAGAAAAUUUUGAUCUUGAAGAAUAGAAAGAAGCACAAAACCUUCAUGAAAGUUUAGGGAAGAAAGACCAUGCUCAAAACUCCAAAUUUAAAUUCUCACGGACUUUUCACAUUUUGCAGCUGGCUUUAUUAUUAAUAGAAGCACAUAAAUAAAUAUUGUAAUUAAAUCCCACUAAUUUAUAGGUCAUAAUGGUAUAUAUCGGUCAUCACAGUAAUUGAGUGGGAAGGUGGGUACCUGUAAAAAGAAUAGACCAAACCAAUCACCCUAAAGUACCUUUAUCAUAAAAGUCAUUGAGGUCCUAAUGGUAAUAAUGGUGGAUAUCUUUGGAAAGAGAAAACAAUCCUAAAUUUCAAAAGAACGUCUGUUUCUUGGCAAUUGUAUCCCCGACAGCCUUAUCUUUUUUUACUUUAUAUCUUUUUAUUAUUAUUAUCGUGAGGAUGGUUAAAGAUGAUAUUAGAUAUGUAAUCUUUCUAUGGUUUAAAAAUGAAAAAUGUGAGUGUUAAGUUGGCAUUUUUACCAUUUAGAAAAUACUUGAUUUUAAGAUCAUUAAUAGGAAGAAAUAAAGAGUUCCAAAAAAUAAAGAAGCUUUUAUUGACUAAUCUAGGCAACCCCUUUCUUGGCUUUUAAUUGUAUCUACUUUGUCGAAAAUCUCAGUCAUUCCUCCUUGUCUUCCUUUUGUUAUUCCUAAGUUCCAACUCUUUUUUUUUUUUUUUAAAUAAUAAUAUUAGUUUUAUGUUUUAAUGAAAUGGGUUGCAAAUUUGAAGAAAACAUAUUCUUGUGUAUUUAUUGACUAUGACCCUUUCUUCACAAAGGUUAACGUUAUUUACAUUCUCAAACUAAUCUUUGAUGAGUUUGAGUUUUUCUUUACUAACAAAACUUCUACCAUAUCUUUCUUGUAGGAACAAAGUCAAAUGACCAUAUUUUGAGACUUAUAUGAAUGGUCUCAACCAUCCAAUCCAAAUACCUACUCAACCCACAACUUCACUCCCACCAAACAACCUUUCGACUAUUAACAUUAUACUAAGAUUUCUUACCUUUGCUAUUCAAAUUAUCGUAAUAAUGUACAUCUUCUAUUUUAUAUUUUUAAUACAUUCCAUUUAAAUUUAACUUCUUACAUCCUUUAACACCUUAUUGUGCAUUUGUGGUUAUUUUUCUAAGCUGUUUUUUAACUUUCAUUGGUGGUUCAUUGUAAUUAUGUUGGUUACUGGGUUUUUUUAUUCUAUUUUAUGCAAGAGACAUUUUGAAAGGAUUAGGUGCCUUCCAAUCUUGAUUUUAGUGAUUUUUAAAUCUUAGUUUAGGACUUUGUUUUUGAUUGAUUUAUAACAUAUUUAGGUUUGUUUAGAAUUUUAAAACUUUAAUUGCAUAAAAUAGAUUCAAGAUUUGAAUUAAUUAAUAAUUGAUUUCAUUCUCCUUUAAAAUGUAGAAUAUGAUAAACGACUUGAUAGCAAAUUCAAACAAAUCUUUAUCCAAAUGAGAAUUUAUGUAAUCUAAUCAUUUUAUUAAAUAUCACCUAGUAAAUUAUAAAAAUAAAGAUAUUAAUCACAUUUGUUAAUAUGUUUUUUUUAAAUUGACAAAUUAUGAUGAAAUUAUAAUCUUUUCAAUAUUUUAUUAAUUAUUAAUUAAAACAUCACUAUAAUUAUUCAAUCCAUGGAAUAUAAAAUGAGUUAUUUUUAGUAAUAAUAAUAAUAAUGAUAAUAAUGAUAAUAGUGAUAAUAAUAAUAAUAAUAACUAAUCAUAUUUGAAUAACAUUUCAUCAAUUAUAUAUCAAAAUAAAGUUGUAUGUUUAUCAUAACCUAUGUUUUAAAACAAAAUAAUAAAAGUUAUAUUUCCCUUUAAAUGUAUUUACAUAUCUACCUCCAUAGUCCAUGGUAUUAAAAUAAUCUAAUAAAACACAGUAUCCCAUAACCGGGCAACAGCACAGCUGCUCCUAGCUUUAGCCCCUAGCAGCUGCAAUCAGCUUUUCCACUCUCUGUUACAGUCCAGCUUUGGCCGCCCAAGACGUACAUCUUUAAAAGUUGAUUUUAUUUUUUUUAAUUGAAUGUUUUUUUUUUUUUGUAACUCUUCUCGAUUAAUAAAUAAUAAUAAUAAUAAUAAUAAUAAUAAUAAUAAUUGGAUUUGGUUUUUAAAGUUGAGUAUUUUCUUUAACUAAUUGAUAUUAUAAAUAUAUAAAUAAUUUCUACAUUCACAUUUUAUAAAAAAUAAAAAUGUUUCAUUUUGAAAAUUUUAUGCAUUAUUUUAAAAUUUUCAAAUAAAGGAUUAUUUGUAAAUAUUUCUAAAUAUGUUUGAUUUCAAUAAUUGAUAAAUUAUAUAAUCAAAAUAUUAUGAAUUGGUAAAUAUCAAUUAUUGGAUUUUAUGAAGAUAAAAUUUAUGAUAUCAAAUAGUAAUGCAUUAUAUUUAUAAAUAGAUGUAUUUUUUCUAUUUUAAAUGUAAUUAACAAUAUAAAAAAUUAAUUAAUAAUGAUAUAUUUAUGAUAAUUUUUGUUUAAAAACAUUUAUAAUUUUAUUUAAAAUUAAAUUUCAUUUUAUAUUUAAUAAUUAUAUAAAAGAUAAAAAAAAUUUAAAAGUAAAUCAAACUAAUUUAUUUAUAAAAAAUUAUUAAUUUUCACUAUUUUACUUAUUUUACAUAUAUAUGUAUUGGGACUGAAAUCUGUUCUCCAUUCUCUCAUUCUUUCCUCCAUUUCUCUUUCGUUCCUAUUCUCUGUUUCCUUUCUCCUUGUCUUCAUUUCUCUUCUAACAUCCAAACUUUUAUUCAUGACGGUUAAACUAUUUCUCUUUUCUAAGAUCAAAACAUAACUCACUGAGGUUAAAAUCCAGAUUGUGAUUGUUAUAAAAAUUCCUAGUUAGGGUUUUAGUUUUAGUUUUAAUUUUUUUGUUCUUUUUUAUUUUUUGCAUUCUUGGUCUUUUGUGUUAUUGUUUAUGUUUUAUUUGGUUUAUGGGAAAUCCUAGAAUUUAUGAAAGUUUUGGCUUUGAAAUAUCCAAAAAAUAUUGAAAUAGAAAUGACCAAAAAAAAAAAAAAAAUUGUUGAAUAAUGUUGAGUUUUUGGUUGAAUUUUUGUUUGACCGAUUUUUUUAUUUUCCAUUUUCUGAUUUGCCCUCGUAGAGUAAAGAAUUUUCCUUCAUAGUGAAGAGAUGAGAACACUCAAGAACAUUGAUUGAAAAUACGAAAAACAUCUUAUUUUUUUUCUUUUUAGAACAUUGGCAAAAACACGGAAAACAACAUUUUUUUGUUUUUUGAAAACCAGACUUUAGAAAACACGAAGAAUACAUGGGAACAAAAAACACUCUCUUAUCAAACACAUUUUGUGUGUUUUUGUUCUCAAAAACAAAAAACUGUUUUUGAAAACAUUCACCAAACAUGCCCUAUUUUUUGAGGUAAUUCUUUUUAUUCUUUUUCUUUGCGGGGGAGGGGGAGGAAAUUUUGGCGAGCUGUUAGAAAAGGGGAUCUUGUGGCAGUUGGAGUUUAGGUUGCCUCAUGUUCUCUCUCCCUCUCUUUUUAUAUUUUAGUUUUUUUGCAAUAACUUGAACUCAUUUCCUUUGAGAAUUUCAUGUUCAUUUUCCCACACUUUGUUUUUGUUCCUAAAUUUAAUCUUGUGUUUAUGUCUAUCAAUUAGUUAUUUAGGUUGAGGAAAGGGGGCCGGGCCUUAGGUCUUCCCUUUUACCCUUGAAAUGAUCCUCUCACUUUGGGUGAUUAUUGAUUUAACUAGCUUAUAAUUUGGCCGUCUUUAUUUUUUAUUGAAAUCAUCAUACCUUGAUGUUUGGAAAUUGAAGAUUCAGGGCCCUUUUGAUGGACUGUCUAGUGGAGUGUGUGGGCAUAGGAAUGAAUUAACGGAGACGUGAAAGCUUUGAUCAGUCCAUGAAAUACAAAUGAAAGGUUAUCACCAAAAAUUAAGCAUGCGUGCAUUGAUAAUAGACAAGUAAAUGAGAGAAAAUGAACUUCAAAUCUUACUUGACAACGAUACUACUAUAAUGGGAUAUUCCUCAACAUAGUGGUUAUUACUUAAUUUGGUAUCAAUAACUAUGCUAAAACCUUGCCCAUUACUGAAAAUGGACAGGGAAUAAGCAAAAAUAUUAUAAUAUGUCUGUAAUUGAUUCCUUUCAUCAUAGUAACCCAUUGGCCAGAUUGGCUUAGUUAACUAAAUGAAAACCCGAUUUCUUAUAUUUCGAAUGAACCAAAAAGGAUACAGUAGUAAACAGCUAUGGAACCAAUAUGUAUGAGGAUAAAAAACAACAACAAUUUUGAUUGAAACUAAUCUUGAAAUAAUCAAUGGCUAAGUACAUCAGGUUGUGUUUAUAAAGUCCUAGUUCAUAAGCACUAAAUUCUAAUGCUAACACUCUCUCCAAGUGCUUUCAGUCUGCUGCUUCAAUACAAGUACUCUAUAUGUGCGCUUGAUAGUAACUUGCGCUUGAUAAUAACUUCUCGUGUCCUAUAUAUUUAUACCCGAUCAAGGGCUGCCAUUUUAUUAGAUUGUUGAGUAAUGACGCUGCUUGUUGAAGGAUUGUGAGACAGAACAAUCUCAUACCCAUCAUCACAUGACUGCAUCCCCUCGGCCAUGAGUUGCCAAACCAAGCCUCCACCAAUUCCUCCACUUCUUGCAAAGUUGUAGAUGUUGGUAUAAACAACAUUCAAAAAUGAAUCCCUUUUAUUUAUAAUUUUAAUUCUAUUGUACGAAGGAAUUAAGAAAAAACUUUUAUUCUAAAAAAAUAUAAAUUUUAACCUAAAAUAAUUUAGUAUAUACUUUAUCAAGUGUAAAAUUUUAAUGAACAGAUUUUUAUUUUAUAAAAAAUAAAAAUAAAUAAAAAAAUUAUAAAAGUUUAAAACUCACUUAGCUUUAAGUGGCUAGUCAAAUAUCUCAUGCUAAACAAAUUAAAUAAUUUUUAUAUGAGCAGAUAGAGAAAAGGACAGUACUUCAAAUGAAAAAUGAAGAGAAGUUACAAUUACUUGUUCUUCGUGUUAAGGAUAAUUAGCCUUUCCAUUACAAUUUACCAUAUGUAUCAUAUUUGACCCUUGAUUACAUGCUAUUCCUUUGUAAUCAGUUUGAUAUUAUUUCCUACUUUCCAUUUCUUUUAUAAUCAGUUUGAUAUUAUUUGAUUUGUAAUAUUCUAUAAAUGAUUAUAAAUAGAAAACUCUCACCACCUUCUCAAGUGUGGUGGUUUGACAAAUAUUCUUACUUUGUAUCAUAUCCGGCUAGAUUGCCUGCUUCCCUCAUGGCAGUCCUCCAUUUCCUUAUCUUUUCCUUUCUCUCCUCAUCUGCAUUUUCCUCAUGAUCGGUAAAUGCUUCUCCACAAAUCCCAGUUUGGUUCCGCACUUCAGACGGAUCCACAUGAUAGAAAAUUGGGAUAACCGUUUGUUUCCUUUCCUCUUUGCAUUGCAUGAUCUUGACAAGCUCUUCCAGACACCAUUUGGAAUGAGCAUAGGUUUUUGAGAAAACAAUAAUUGCAAUCCUUGAUUCUUCAAUAGCUUUUUAAGAGCUCUGGUGCAAUCUCUCCUCCCCUUGGGUGUUCUUCAUCAUCUCUGAAGGUAUUAAUAUUGUUACGAAUCAAAGCCGAGUAGAGGUGAUCAGUAAAGCUUCUGCGAGUAUCUUCACCUCUAAAACUCAAAAACACAUCGUAGCUCCACUGAGAGUGAGAAGUGGAAGAAGAAGAGGGUCUCUGGAUGCUAAGGGAGGCCAUGGUUGAACAGAAAUCGGAGGAAAAAUAAAACAUAUAAAAUUAUCAAGUCCAUGGGGUAUUUAAUUAGGCCAUAAGAGAUCGUGUGAACUCACACAUACAUUAAAUUAAAGUUAUUGAAUUAAUUUUUGUCUUUUCUAUAAUGAGCAAUAAAUAUUCCUGUAGAAAAUAAAGGUUUAUUAAGUUGAUAGGUGAGGGAAAGCUAUAUAACAACUUCGGUAUUAUAAGCUUGAUUUUUUAAAAAUAAAAAAUAUAAUAAGUCAUAUGACACAUAAAAGUUCAUUUUUUUUAAAAUCAAGUCAAACAUUUUUAUCUUAUUAUAAUUUCUUAUUAUUAUAAUAAAUAAAAUAAUUUUUUAAAUAUAUUUUCCUAUUAAGAUAUAUUAUUCCUAACCACAAUCGAAUUUUUAUAAAAGAGCAAUUAGUUUCUUAUAUGAAUGUUUUAUUUAAUCAAGAUAAACAUGGAAAGAAAUUGUUAUCACAUGUCCUAUAUUGAGAAAAAUUAUAUAUAAAUUGGAAAUAAUUUUAAAAAUAAUAAAAUCUAAAAGUUGUUUCACUAUUUUCUAAAAUUAAUUUUAAUUUCUUAUAAUUUUGCUAUUUUUUUGUUGAUUUUUUAAUAAUUAUUUUAAUUAUAUAUCUAUAUAUAUAUAUAUAUAUAUAUAUAUAUAUAUAUAUAUAUCUAUAUAUAUAUAUAUAUAUAUAUAUAUAUAUAUAUAUAUAUAUAUAUAUAUGUGUGUGUAUAUGUAUACAUACAUAUUAAAAAAUGUUACUCAUUUAAGUGGUUUCAAAUGAUUUAUUUAUUUGCAUGAAAAAAACAUGAAUUGAUCAUCUUUUGAGAUGUAGUAAGAGUCGUUUGGUUUAGGUCACAGUGGUAAUGAGUUGGAAGGGUCUAGUACCUUUUGAAAGAACAAAAGGAGCAACAACCCUAAAAUUCAAAAGUGUUGGAAUAUUAAACAAUGUCUUGGUCAAAAAGGGAAAGCGCGUUGGAUCAUAUAUUGAAAAUAAUGUCUUGUUAACAAAAAAUAAUGUCUUGGUAAAAAUAGAAAACAUAUAGGAACAUUGAAUAAGACAAUACCAUAUGGUUAGGAAAGGUUAUUCUCUAAUCUUUUAUCCUUAUUGACUCAUACACUUGUUGAACCUCCUUAACAAUAGAAAGAAAGUUCAUUCUUAUGAAUCCUCAAAAUGAAUCAAAGAGAUAAAUUUCAAUUUUGAAGUAAACAUAAUUAUUUUUCUAUUUUUGUUAAAAAAUUGACAAUACUUAAUUUAUCAUGUAAGAAUCAAAGAAUAAUAGCAACUAUUCAUACAAUCGGUCUCAUUUUGUUGUAACAAAACUUAUGAUUAUUUUUCUUCCAUGUAUAUGAGGUUACUAUAAAUUCAUUUCCCACUUGUCAUGUGAUUCAAAUAGAACCUACUAGAUGAAAUUUCUCUCAACAUAUUUCCGCAUCACAAUUUUUCUUUCAUUUUUUAUUUUAUUUUGAAUUUGCAUUAAAUAAAUUUCAACCAUAGAUACGCACUAACAAUAUUUAAAUAAAGAUGAUAAUGUAUUUAAAAUUUUAAUAAAAACUGAGUUGAAUUUUUCAACUUACGUUUGAUUUCCUUCUGUUCACCUAAUGUUGGCAUUAAAAUACAAAAAAAAAAGUCAUUGUCUUCGGGAUUUUUUCUUGUGAGCUUAUCCUCAAACUUUCUUAAAAAACUAAGUUGAUUAUUGUUGUGCUCACUUAAUGUUUGCAUUAAAAUACUAGAAACUUAUUCUUGUGAGCUUAUCCUUGCACCUUCUUCGAAAAAUAUAAGAUUGAUUCUUAUUGAUAGGAAGAUAAGAACAAAAACUUCUAAUAAAUUAUAUUUUGGUAUAUUGAUAAUUUAAUGGGAAAAAACGUUAAAUUUUAUAAAUGUAAAAAGAUGAUAUAGUUGGAUGACGCAUUUAUACAAACAUAUGAAAAGAACAUUUAUAGUCAAUAAAUGAAAACCAUGUAAAUAUUCAAAAGGCUAAAAUCACAAUUGAUUGGAGCAAAAAAAUUUAGCUCAUCCUAUAUUUAUUUUUUAUCAUCAUAUUCUUAUCGAGCUUCUUAGGCAUCAAAUAUAAAAAUUCUCUAUUUAAAAUCAAAAUAAAAUAAAUAAGAUCUUGUCAACUACAAUUUUAAUUCAACUAUUUUUGUUGCUAACUAGUUCCUUGAUUUUUGGUACUUCGAUUUCUCAAACAACACAAAAUUUCAUUUCAAGGAAGACUCAUUAACAACAUGAAAUUCAAAAUUACAUAUGCAACAACCCAACCCCAAGCUUAAGUAAAUUUGUAAUUUUAUUAAUUAAGAAAAUAAAAACUUUGGGCUAUUUAAAUAUAAUUGGAUUUUAAUUUUGAGUUUGGGUUCAAGUUAAAAAAAAAUUAAUGAGCCAAAUAAAUUAAUUGGGCAUUUAUAUUCAAACAAUUAAUCUUUAGUAUUAAGAUUUAAUUGAAUUGAAAAAAAAAUAGAAAUAAGAUAAUAAAGGGAGUAAAAUAGUCAUUUCUCAUUAGAAACCUAGGUAUGAAUAUUCACUCUUCUUUACAAAAGUCUUUUUGUAUAGAGAGCAAAUGUAGGGUUUGAAAUCAAUCUUUGAAUGUAAGCACGUAUAGAUUUAAUAUUUACUUUCAUUUUUAAUUUUCAUGGGAAUUAUUAAAUAUGAUCAAAUUUUAUGAAAAAAUUAAAUAACAUNNAUUCUAAUUAAUUAUAAAGUCACUACAUUAAAAGUCUNNNNNNNNNNNNNNNNNNNNNNNNNNNNNNNNNNNNNNNNNNNNNNNNNNNNNNNNNNNNNNNNNNNNNNNNNNNNNNNNNNNNNNNNNNNNNNAAUCAAAAAGUAUAAGUUACAAAUUUCAAAGGGUGUUUAUGAGUGGAUCAAUUUUUGGUCUCAAUUAAAAAAGCUAAUUGAAAAUAAUAUAAAUAUAAUAUGUUUUUAUUUUAUUUAUUUAUGGUGAGGAUUAUAAAAUAAAUUGUUAUUUUUUAAUUUUAAAUAAAGUAAACAAAUAAGAUAAAAUAGAAAUUAAAAUCAAAAGAAAAAAAAUUAAAAAUCAAACAAUAUAAAAUAUUGAAAGUGAUUGAAUAAAAAAGAAAAAGUUUACAACUCAAAUAAGAUCAAUCUAGAAAAUACAUUACAUAUUAAAAUAUACGCAUAAAAUGCAUUUCAUACUGUUAGAUGGUAAAAGUCCAAGUAAAAAAUCGUAGGUUGAUGACCUGAAUUGCAUAGGUUGCUUUCAGACCAUUGGGACUUGUUAGGGUUCAAAGUCAAAAAUAGGACUAAUAAUAUUUAGUAAUAUCAUCUCAAGCCUAUUCCAAAAUAUGGCAACAUGGUAAAAUUAAAAAUUAACAUAAUGCUUAAUAAUAAUAAUAAUAAAAAACCUUAUUGGUUUUUUUUUUUAAAAAAAUCACUAGAUAUUGUAUAAUUUUUCUAAAAUGAAUGAGAAAAGUUAUAAUUAUGAAUCUCUUGAAGAAAAACCUUUCAAUUGCAAUCGCACUCCCUUAAAAAAAAAAAAAAAAACUUAAACAUAAAAGGGUUAAAUAUAUAAUAUGAGUAAAUUCGUUAAUCAUCACAUAAAAAACAAUUUUUCCAGACCCCCUCGAUCAACCCCAUGAGCUAACCCAAGCAACUCAAUGUUGACAUCCUAAGCUAAAUGGUAUUAUCUGAUUAAUUAUUUUACAAAAUAUACAUAUGUUAUAUCUUAAAAUUGGUUACUAAAUUAUAUUACAGUUAUCAAAUAUAUUACCAUAUAUAAAAUACAACUUAAUAAAUCUUAAGCAUAAUACAAAGCACAAUAACAAGAUAUGUUAAUUUAAGUUAUUAAGAGCUUAUUUAGUUGUGUGAUUUAAAAAUAGUUUUUUGUUUUUAAAAAACAAAAAUUAUCUUUAAAAUUUUCUAACACUAUUUACCGUUGCUUUUUGGAAACACUUUUUUAAAACAAAGUAAAAUAAAGAACAAUUUUUAAAAAACAAGUUGAAGUUGUUUUUACCAGUUUUUAAAAAACAAAAAAUAUAUAAACUCAUUUCACUAUGUUUUUUGAAACUUGUUUUUAAAUUAAAGAAUAAAAAAUAAUUUUUCAAAAUAAGUUUCAAAAUAUCAUCUAUACACAUUCUUUUUGAAUGAUUAAGAAUCGAGAUUUCUAACCAGUCGGUUAUUAUUAUUUUUUUUUUAUAAAAAAUUGAAAUUUACUUUAUCAUUUAUUGUAUGAAUAUCAUAUGGAUUUAAAAAGAAUUUCACACUUAGACAUGUACCUCUCAGAACAUUUGAAGUGAAGAUGUUCUUGUCUUCUUCAAUUUGAAGGCUCAUUAUGACUUUGAGAUUCACAUUCCUUUAAUUGACAUGAAAUGUUUGACUUGCCUUGACUAAUAAGGACCUUCAUGGCUUACCUGAUAGAGGUUGGGCCUUUACCGUUAUCCACUCAGCAAUGAUGUAUUUUCUGCACUGAGUUAUUUAAUAAAAAUGGUUUUUGAGUAAAACAGAUUUGGAUUUUGACCUAUGGAGGCCUAUGGACUUUCAAAACAGGGGUUCACUAGGGAAAAAAAAAACAGAGAAGAAAAAGAAGAAAAAUGAGAUCAUUGGAAGAAUUUUCAGCCCCUUUCAAUCACUUAGCCAUAUAAUAGAAACUAAGAAGAAGAGAAAGGAUCGUAGCUCACAAAAAGCUUGAGAUAAAUGUUUAGCAUCUUCUGCAGCAUAUCCAUCCAACAAAUUUGCAAAGAAGCUCCAACCAGUCGUGCAUAUGAUCCUCUUCAUCAUCUUGGGCAUCAACAACAUUACUGUUAAUAAUCUGUGUCGUUGUAUCCAUGGGAGAAUCGCUAUGCUCAGUGCACUGUGUCCAGUCAUAGCUUGUUUGUGCAUUAGAAUUAGUAUCUUCUGCUGCUGAUCUGGUAUCACAACUUCUCUGCUCAUCACUAUACUCCAUCAUUGUCUGAUGGUCGCGCUUGGUGGCUUCUGUGUUGUCACAGCUUCUCUGACAAUCAGUACUGGUAUCUUCUGGGAUGUUGCUGUUGAUAACAUCACGUGUAUAUAUAAGAUAGUACCCACACUCUUUCACUUCGACUGGUGCAUCCAAGCUAUGAAAUGAAGCCUUCAAACGUCUCCAUUCGUUUGACCAAUACUGCUUGUCAAUAGCAACCUUGGGAUAAUAAGUCACACACAUUUGACUUGAUUCAUCGCAAAUUGGGCAGCAAUAAAACUGGACAUCAUCCACGUGACAGCAUUCAGAUUGAUCACCACAGAUACUGAGUUCGCAAUUCAACUCAUCACAAGCCAUAGAAAUAAAAAUAGAGUAUAAAGCAAAUCCUAAGAAGUCAUCUUUUCUGUACCAAUCCAUAGGAAGCUCUAUUGUUAUUUGAGAUCCUUUUUUUGGCUGGCUUAUCCACUCUGGAAUUCCAUUAUUUCCCAAAAUAACAACUCUGAUUGCCUUGUUCCAAUAGGAGUCGCAUUCAAAUUCCUGCACAGAAGUACAGUGUUAAUACUCUGUUCAUAAGGAAAAAGGGCUGAAUGUUAUGAAAAUCAUACCUCAAUCAUUGAUUUGAAGCAUUUGAACAGAGAAAAACCAAGUUCACUUGAUGGACUUGAUGAAGUUUCCAAGCAUGUGCAACUGUGGACAUCUAAAUAUCGUAAACUUGGCCGAAGCUCUGGAACUUGUCGACGCCCCUGGCAGUGACUCAAUUGAAGGACUCUCAGUUUAGACAGUUGAAUGAUGCCUGCAAGUAUGCUACUAAAACAGUCCAUGCUUAGAUUUAGACCUGAAGCACGCAAAUCCUCUAAACAUUGCAAACUCCUCAGGUUCUCAGGAAAUUUCUCAAGUUUUGUACAGAAACUGACAUCUAGAGUUUUGAGAGAACUCAAAUUACAAAUGCUUUCUGGAAGACUCACAAGGUUGGUGCAAUCUGAAAGAUUCAAAUAUUGAAGCCCUCUUAAAUAUUGAAUUGAUGCUGGUAGUUCUUCUAUAGCAGUUCCAUCUAAAUGAAGCACUCUUAAAUUUUCCACAUCCUCAACGAUUUCCGGAAAGCUCCUUAAUCGUGAACAGCCUGAGCAGAAGAGAGUUGUAAGGGAUUUCAACUCACAUAUGCUACUGGGAAGAUGCUCAAGGUUUUUGCAUUCCCGCAAACAUAAGCUAUCAAGUUCUAAGGGACACUCAAUAGUGGGUAGUUCAUUGAUGGCAUUUCCCUUUAAACAAAGCUUUCGUCGGGAUUGCACAUCCCCUUGACAUUCCCGGCAAACGGUGGAUAUCAUUGCUUUACCAUGGUUCUGUUCAUGAUCAUGGGCAUAUAUAAGAUGGAUCCCACACUCUUCUACUUUCACUGCUUUACCUCUCAAGUAGCCACAAAAUGAAGCCGUCAACUCCCUGCAUUUAUUUGAGUGGUACUUCUUCUCAAUCAAAAGCUUAGGAUAAUAAAUCAUCCACAUUUGUGGUACAACAUAGCAUUGAAAUGAGGGAAAAAACUGGAGUUCAUCCACAAACUGAAUUUCACGACCACGCAAAGUCAAACCAUACUCGAAGUAAGUUGCAUCAUUAUCCAGUGUCUCCUCAGAUUCAUUAUCAAGUGGAUAAUAGACACAGUACAAAACAAAACCCAACAAGUCGUCAUUUUUAUACCAAUUUUGAGGAAGCUUUGCUACUACUUCAGCUCCCUUUUUGUGAUGGCUUAUCCAAUUUGGAAUUCCACUACCGUCUGAAAUAAGAUUUACUUGGGCAAAAGAUUUUUCUGUAGGAUAAAUCUCGCAUUCCAAAUCCUGCAGAAAAUUUAAUUAACACGUAAAUCCCCAUGUCUCCACAAAAAAAGUUGUGUUCUAUGAAUAUCAUACCUGAAUCAAUGAUUUGAAGCAGUUGAAUAGAGAAGACCAGAGUAGACCUGAAGAAGUUUCCAGCCGUUUGCACCCAUGUACAUCUAAGACACGCAAACUGGAUGGAAGCGCUGGAAUUUGUCGAAGCUCUUCACAGUAACCCAAAUCAAGGAGUCUCAGCCUAGAAAGUUGAUUGAUCCCAGCAGGUAUGCUCCUAAAAGGAUUCCCGAUUAGAAGUAAUUCUUGCAGAGAUGAUAGCUGGCAAAAUUCAGUGGGGAUUCCUCCUUCAUCUAUACAGCAGACAGAUAGAUCUAACACUUGCAAGGAGUACAAGCCGCAAAUAUCACUCAGGACUACUCCUUGCAUUAGCCCUGAGCAAGUUAGAUUUAACACCUUUAAGGAGCAUAAACCUGACAAAGAAAGCAAUUGGCAACAUCUUGAAUUUAAGCCCCUAGCACAGAGACGCUUCAAGCUUUGCAGCCUCCCCAGGUUUUGUGGCAAUUUGUGGAGUUCGAAACAGAAAUUGACAUUGAGAUCUUCAAGAAAGCGUAAAUUACAAAUGCUUUCUGGAAGAGUCACAAGGUUUUUGCAACUUUCCAGAUUCAAAACCUGAAGCCUAUUCAAAUGUUCGAUUGAAGAUGGUAGCUCUUUUAUAGCCGUUCCGUUCAAGUGAAGCUGCCAUAAGUUUUCCAUAUUCUCCAAGAUUUCUGGGAAGUACUGUAAUUGUGAACAGUCAGAGCAAAAGAGAGAUUUUAGGGAUUUGAACUCCCAAAUGCUUGUUGGUAGACUCUCAAGGUUUUUGCACUCUCGCAAACACAAGGUAUCAAAUUCAGAGGCACACUCAAUGGGUAGUAGGUUGAUUGUCUGACCCUUUAAACAAAGCUUUCGGUGUUCCACGUUCCUCUGACAUUCCAAGCAGCUAGCAUCCACAUCCUCAGUCUUUACUGUUGGAUCUUGAGCGUAUAAAGGUUGUAACCCACACUUGAGCACCUUAAAAUGAUUACGAGAGUCCUUAAAUAAAGCCAAAAGAAACAUGGAUGUAUUGGUGAGACUGCUCUCCAGAAUAGCAGCCUUGGGAUAGAAUAUCACCCACAUUUGUUCUGAUACACCUCCAUCAUGGUAGCAUUUACAAGUAGUGCGAAAACUGAAAUGUCGCACACACAGGGAAGAAAAUCCAUAGCCAUCACCCAAUGACAAUUGACAUUCUAACUCAGUGGAGAUUGAAGAUUCAGCUUCAGGUAAAUCGUCAGAUUCAUUCAGGGCUUCGUCACCAGAUUCAUUCUCUGAUGUUUGUGCAAAAUCAUUUUCAGGUAUGUACUCACAUUCUUUGAGUGGAACAUAAACAAAGCAUAUAGCAAUUCCCAAGAAGUCAUUAUUUUCAUAACAAUUCUGAGGAAGGCCCAUUGUGAUCUGACAUCCCUCUCUCUGAUUCCUUAUCCACUUGGGAAUUCCACAGCUUCCCGGAACAACAAUACAGAUUCCAUGGCCAAUGAAGUCAGAAUCAGGGAGAAAUACUUUGCUUGAACUGCUCUUGUAUUUCAAAUCCUGUACAAAAGGACAAUGUAAAUCCAGUGGGUCUGUGCCAUUAUGUGAGUUUUUAUGAGAGAGUUUGUUAUCGGUUUUUGCUAAAUUGAUUCCCAGUUUUAGCUUUAUUUGAUCUAUGCUCCUGAAUCUACUUAAUAUCCCUUUUAGAUGACUGAUAGUCAAUCAACAUGAAAGUGAGCGACAAGAUUAAGUGUGAAAACUGAAGUGAGGGGAAACUGAAACUGAAAGUGAGUAGAAUAAGCAGAUCUCUUCUUCACUUGCAGUAGCUUCUUCUCCAUACAGAUUCAGAGAUCUUAUAAUCGUAGCUUCAACUUAACUCUCAGAAUCUUAAAGACAAAGUUCGCUCAAGUUUCAAAAAUUCACAGAAAAAUUUCUCCUCAGGUUUCUCUUAGUCCUAUGAGGCGAGAGACAUGUAGCACACACUUAUUGGCUUUUUUCCAUGCAAGUUUCAAGGUGGAGCGUCUAAUGAACUAGAACAUUCCCUCAAAUCCUAGUGGAAAUUCACACUAGAAAUUGCAGAAUUUGGUAAGGAAAACUUUAAUUCAUUUUAUCCAUGAAUAAAAAAGAUUUAACAUUAGAGAGAAUAACUCACGUAUAUUAAAGCAUUUUGGUGCUAAGUUCUUUUUAUCCUUGAUCUUUUAUGAGAUUGAGCCAAUAAGGCUUACACUUAAAAUUUAAUUUGUUUGAAACACUCCUCUAAAAUCAAUCAUUCAAAUAUUAGAAAACAAGUAAAAUAUUUUUCAUAUGUUGAUUAAUAUACCCAAGGUAGUUCUUGAAUUAUCCUAACACAAAUAUCUUUCAAGUCUUAAUUUUGUCAAACCAAUAUAUAUCUUUAGAUUUCUAAAGGAACUACUAUACUAACGCACAUUCAUCCAUGAGUUAGGUAGAUUUUAUCUCUUGUAAGAGUUCAAAGAUAAUGCAAACAAAAUUCACUGUACAAUUAAUAUCUCUCAAUGGUAUGUUAUUCAACUAAAACUAGUAGUGUCUUAUGUUAAUGGGCUUAGUUUUAUAAUGUAAAACUAGAUCUUUAAUCCAUUAAUAGCUCUCAUGUUAUGACAAGGCAUAAUUAUGAUUUAUCACUCUCACCAUAAUCCUUUUAACAUAUGUUUUAUCGAAAGUAAUUGCUUGGUUUGUUAGCUUCUUAUUAAGCUAGGCAACUGAACAAUUAAAAUAUAGAAACAUCCCCUAUAAGUGUUCUUCCCAUCUUUAGACCUUCCAUCCCUAUUCAACAUUUGCAUGAAAAAUGUUGUCUACAAAUAUAUUGGUGUAAUACCACAAUCCAAGUUUACAAGUACCAACCACAAAUAUAAUGAUUCUAUUAAUAACUCCAAGGUGUGAUUUCUUAGGAAGAAUCUUAUCAAGCAUAAACUCCAGUUCUAUAGGUUUAUCCAGCCUAAAUGUCAUUAGAUAAAGAAGGCUUCCAACCAUUGAUCUACAGGUGGAUAGAUUUACAAACUUACCACUCCCAUCUCUUGUAAAAAUUUUCCUACAACUUUUCUAUUGUCGUGACCUAGCUAAGUUCAACCAUUUUAAUUUAGCUUAUAGGGAGGGCCCCAUCGCUAACAUUUCCAAUCACAUUGUGGAUAGGAUGAUCACUAGCUUCUCUUAUUUUGCUCCAUGUGGAUGUUUGCUUGAUUUUCAACAUUGAGUUCAUUCACAUUCUCAACCAUUCAACUCUUUUUUCUCACCUAAAUCUAGAAUGUUUGAUGAAAUAUCCUUAAGAAAAACACAUUAUUUUCUUUACUUCCUUAGUCAUCUAUCAAUACAUUGAUUGAUUCAAUUACAACUCUUUAAUUAUUGAAGAAGAUCUUAAAGGCUUUAAUCCAAGUUGAGUAUCUAACAAAAAUUCUUUCAACAUGCUUUGAUUCAAACAUCCUAAUUUUUAGAAUUGUUUGGAUAAGACAUUGUUUCUAAAAACUAUAUUUUACAUUAAGCUUCCUACUUGUCUAAACAUCAUAGCUAGUCCUUUUGGUUCUAACAUAUAGGUGGACUCAGAUAGAAGUACAAGAUGUUGUGUUUAUGGAUUCAACUUGACAAGUUGUUAGAGCCUUUGGAUUAAUCCAUUCUAAACCUAGGAUUGUUGGGGUGUUUGCAAAAACUAUCUUAAGGAUCUCUAGAUCUAAGCAACAAAAGCAUAUACAUGAAAAACUAUAGAUCCAUGUGCUUAAAAAAAUACACCUGCAUUGUUUCCAAAAUGAUUUCAGUCUAUGAAGAAGCUAGUGCAAAUCUCAAAAACCAAGAGUACUUUUGCUCGAUGGCUCUCUUUCUUGGAUCUAGGCACUUGUAGAUGAUGAAAUCCUCAUAGAAGGGUGGAGGCUAAGGUUCCUCUCUCUAGAUUCUAAAGAAAUGGAAGAAGAAUAAAAAAGUCCUAACCCUUAAAUGGGUUUAUAUAGGAUUCCCUAUGGGCUUAAGUUACUUGAUCCUAUCUUAGGCUUAGGGGUCACUAAAAAAAGCCCACUUGGAUCCUAAUUAAAUAAUUAGCCCUAUUAGGGUCCAAUUAAUUAAUUAUCCUUUUCCAAAAACAUCAUUCAUAAGAUCUAAAACAACUUUACGUUUUUACCAAAACACCCUUAUGCACACGUAUGAAUAAAUAACCUAUACAUCCCUUAAGUAAUGUGUCACAUAGAAGUAUGAACUCGAGUAGGGACCAUUAGGCUUGGUAGGAAAAUAGUGGCUCCUUUAUAAUUUAAUUCUAAAGUUGACUUAAUAUCCUUCUACAAAAAAUCAGUUGCACUCUAAUAUCCUAUGAUAUUACAUUAAUAUAAAAUACAUGGGUUUGUGACCUACUAACGACUAAAAGCUAGCUCCUCAUGAACUGGUGUGCAUAAUAUAACAAGGUGAACACUUUCAAUCUUUUAAGAUUAACUUUACAAUCCUUGAGUUAUAGACCAUCCCAUUAAGUGAUAAAUUGACAUACUAUAACUCACAAUGAACAUAUGUUAAAUUCUACUAAACGAAUUACUGCAACCAUAAAUUUCAUGAUCACAUGUCCUUAAUGUCACCCAAUGGGAUACACUAUCUUAAUCCCAUGAGAUCUUAUGAUGCGUAUCUUAUGCAAAUCUAUUGCCACCUACCUUAAUCAAUAAUGACCUAAUCCCUAGGAAAUAUGUGACCAUCAUAUGGAUUCACCUGUAAAUCAAACUAACUAAAAACUUCCAACAAUAGCUCAUUAUUUUCUUAAGGUUGAGAGUGCAUUUGGUAUAGUAGCUUGGUGAAUCAUGACUACCUCAAUAGCUAAUGUCAUGAUUCAUUGUAAAUUUUGUUUAAUGUGCAAUAAUAUAUACUAAUGCACUCACCUUAGAAACGUCAUCCGAAUGACUAAGACAAGUCAACUUGUUAAUUAGAAGGUAGUGUACUAUAAUCUCAAAUGGAUUGCCUAAAACUAUCAACCAACUAUGAACAAAUCAUAAAUCUUGCAAGGAACCCAUGACUUGAAUCUUUCCAUAACUUCUAAUGCACUUAAGUCAUGUAUAAUACCACUAUUGCAUGCAUGAAUACUCAAAUCAAUAUCAAUGUGAACAUGGAUAAAUUAGUGGAAACUCAAGCCUAACAGUGUUACAUCAUCUCUUGCUUGCAAGGGCUCUACCUUAACACCAAUAAUCAAGUAGUUUCUUGAAAUCCAAUAUAAUAUGUGCUAUUUCUUGGAGCACUUUAUUUUUUCUUUCAAUAACUUCAUUUUCUAUGGAGUUUUAGAUGUUGAAAGCUCUUCUUUCAUUUCCUUCUCCUCACAAAAACUCUAGAAGUUAGAAUUACAAACUCAUUUUCUCUAUUAUUUCUUAUUUUUCUUACCUAAAAUUCAUUUUUAUUCAUCAUUUGAAAGCAUAACACUUUGAAUCUUAGGAUGUACUUCUUUCUUCCUAGGCAUUGCACUCUCAUAGGACCAAUGAUGAAAAUAUCGGUAAUCACGCAUAUAUUGCUACUUCGAUUUUACGGUUAUAUCGGAGAUAUAUCGACGGAUAUUUUAGAAAAAAAUAUCGAUAAACCUAAAAUUGAUCAAAAUUUAUAAAAAUAUAAAAAAAAACUUCAUAAAAAUGUAAUUAGAAGUAUACUGAUAUUUUUAAGUUGUUUUAUUAAAUAAUUUGAUAUAUAUAUAUAAUAUGAUUUAUCAUAUUUGAUAAUAAUAUCGUAUGCAUCGAUAAAAAUAUGAAUUUUAUAAGUGUACAUUUAUUAUUAAAUUACAUCUAAUAUUAUGAUAUAUUAUUAUAAUAUGUAUAAUUUUAAAAUAUAUAUUAAUAUUAAAAUUAUGAUACAUUUAAUUCAAUUGUAUUAAACAAUAUAAAAUAAAUUAUGAUAUAUGUACAAUUUUUUAAUAUUUAAUUAAUUAUUAAUGAUAUUAAAAACACUAUGAAGAAAAUAAUAUAAUUUUUAUAUUUUUGGUAAUCAAUUAAAAGAAAAUUUUGCAUUUAAUUAUAAAAUAAUUAUAAUUAAUUUGCUCUUUAAAAUAUUUUUUUAAUAUUUUCUUUAUAUAAUGGGUUUAGCUAUAUAUAUGUUUAGUGCAUAUCAUAUAAUAAGGGCAAGUUAGCUCGGAUGGCAAGUGGGUUGAACCUCAAACCUUUUGGUUUGGGGUUCAAAUCCCCUCAACUUCAAAAUAAAGGGUUCUUUUUCAGGCACAGUAGCGUGUUUGACCGUCGUUGACCCGUGUUGACCAUGUGAUAUAUCGAGAAAAAUGACGAUUUAUCUCCAAAAUCACGAGAUAUCGCCGAUUUUCUCCAUGAAAUAUUGUAUCGAUACCCUCCCAUACAUGAUAUAUUGGCGAUAUAUCGCCAAUAUAUCGCAAUAUUUUCUUCCUUGCAUAGGACCCAUUAAAUCCAUAUGUAACAUCUCUAAGAGCCUAGAAAAAGAGAACAUCAUUUUUUUUUCUAACUCAUGUGAAUUCAUUGUCCUAGAUAGGAUAAAUAGGAUUUUUAGGCUUUCCUAAAUGGGAAUUGCUUUAAUUAGUUCUUUAUUUGUAAUCCUAGACAAAUCAUUAGAGUUAAAAUGCGCUAUCAUACACUCUUUGGAUGUAAAUUUCACAUUUUACAACUAUGUGCACUAUAGAUGAUGAGGAAAAAGUAGAGAGGUGUACAAAAGCAUAACAAAAAUUAUCAAAAAUUCUAUUUCUUACCAACACACAUCCUUGAAUAGACACUGAUUUUGAGUAAAAUGAACAAAGCACAUACAAUCACAAAUUUAACUUGCGUUAAUUAAGUUUGCUUUCAAUCCCUCAAUAUAUACUAACUCCUUGAGUAUAGGUAAAUUUGGACCUUCUAUGGUACCUUUCGCUUUCAAGUUGGUUAUACGUAAUGCAGCCAUCCCUAAAUACAAACAAGCUUCCCUUUAUAGGUUCAAACAUGGAGAAAGACUUUAAGUUCAUUGUUGCUUUUACCAUUCCCAAAUACAACCAAACUCCUUCUAUGAGUUCAAAAUUCGAGAAAGAUCUAGGUUCUCUAUCAUACAACUAGAGUAGCCACUCUCAAAAUCCAAAACGUGUUUUUCUCUAGCUCUUAGGCCCUAUGGUCAACUAAGGCUUUUUGGUUCUCCUUCUUAACCCAGAUUUUCUUUCCA